rnacentral:rRNA from 1 species
AUGGCGCCGUCGUCGCACCGCGGCGGCCAGCCCCUCGACCUCGACGCCGCGCCCGUGCUCGACGACGACGGCCGCGUCGCCCGCACGGGGAACCUGUGGACGUGCGUGGCGCACAUCAUCACCGGCGUCAUCGGGGCCGGCGUGCUGGCGCUCUCCUGGAGCGUCGCGCAGCUCGGCUGGGUGGCCGGCCCCGUCGCCAUGGUCUGCUUCGCCGCCGUCACCUACGUCUCCGCCGUCCUGCUCUCCCACUGCUACCGGUCCCCCGCCCCCGCCGCCCCCGGUGGCUCGGACUUGCCGUCGUCCGAGGGGGACAAGACGCGGCGGAACUACACCUACAUGGGCGCCGUCCGGGCGCUCCUCGGCAGGAAGCACGCCUACGUCUGCGGCUCCCUCCAGUACCUCUACCUCUACGGGAUCGGCGUCGCCUACACCAUCACCACCGCCACCUGCCUCGGCGCGAUCAAGAAGGCCAACUGCUACCACGACCACGGGCGCGGCGCCGCCCGCUGCACCUCGGACGACCGCGAGCAGCACCUCUUCAUGCUGCUCUUCGGCGUCGCGCAGCUGGUGCUCUCCUUCAUCCCCAACUUCCACAGCAUGGCGUGGCUCUCCGUCGUCGCGGCCGUCAUGUCCUUCACCUACUCCACCAUUGGCCUCGGCCUCGGCCUCUCCAAGACCAUAGGCGACGGCGUGGUCCGAGGGAGCGUCGCCGGCGUGCCGAUGCACACCCCGAUGCAGAAGGUGUGGCGGGUGUCCCAGGCCAUCGGCGACAUCGCGUUCGCGUACCCGUACUCCAUCGUGCUGCUGGAGAUACAGGACACGCUGCGGUCGUCGCCGCCGGAGGGGGAGACGCUGAGGAAGGGGAACGUGAUCGCGAUGCUCGCCACCACCUUCUUCUACCUCUGCGUGGGCUGCUUCGGCUACGCGGCCUUCGGCGACGCCGCGCCGGGGAACCUGCUCACCGGCUUCGGCUUCUACGAGCCCUACUGGCUCGUCGACUUCGCCAACGCCUGCAUCGUGCUCCACAUCCUCGGCGGCUACCAGUUCUUCAGCCAGCAGAUCUUCACCGUCUGGGACCGCUGGCUGGCGGCGAGGUGCCCGGACAGCGCCUUCGUGUGCCGGACCUACGCAGUGAGGCUCGUGCCGGGCCUGCCGCGCUACGGGCUGAACCUGCAGCGGGUCUGCUUCCGGACGGCGUACGUGGCCAGCACCACGGCGCUGGCCGUGGUGUUCCCCUACUUCAACGAGGUGCUGGGCCUGCUCGGCGCGCUCAUCUUCUGGCCGCUCAUCAUCUACCUCCCCGUCGAGAUGUACUGCGUGCAGCGCCGUGUCCGGGCAUGGACGCCGACGUGGGUCGCGCUCCAGGCAUUCAGCGUCGCCUGCUUCGCCGUCGGGACCUUCGCAUUCGUCGGCUGCGUCCAGGGCGUCGUCCAAAAGAGGCUCGGCUCCUAG